UCAAUGGUGAACAUAGUCUCUGUUUUCUGUUAUCACAUUAAAAUUCCAUCACCUGUAUUUUCUCUCUAGUUCUUUCUUCAAAAGGUAGAUUUAGCUGAUUGAAAGCUAUCAAUUCUCCUGCCAAAUCAUCACCACACCAUUUCAACUCUAUCAGGACAAAUAUUCUUCAUUCACUCAAGCUAUAUAGAAAGGCAUUGUAUUCUAUUCCUUUUUCUUAUUUCUGCUUGUUUAUAUUUCAUCAGGAAACAUAACUUUCCCCUGUUUUCUUUAACAUUUCUCUAAUUGUUCCAAAUCUAAAAUCUUCAUUAUCAUAUACCACAACUUAUUCUUUUUCUCUUUGUAGGAAAGUGUCUUUUGGCUCUUUAAGGGGAUGUAAAAGGGCAAUAAAUUCAGUGGAUAUACACACAGAAAAUAAGUUUUCAAAUACAUAUUUCCUAUGAAUCUUUGUUUUCCAUAGAGAUUCCUCCUUAGUGUCACAACAGAGCCACAUUUUCCCAGAGCAGAAAAUCACAUCAGGAAUCCUCUGAUAAUGUUAUGAAGAUGCUUGUAUGUUUUAUAAACCAGACAACAAUUAUGCCGAGGAGUGGAUUUGCAGCCUGAGUCCUCCUGCUCCUUUUGGUGUAAAUUUGAUGAAAGGUUAACCUUAGGCAGGAGAGAAGGCAGAAAACCACACUAAGCACUUCUUAGCAGGCAGGGCAGAAAGAACACGGACAACAUUAGGAGCUCUUCUCAUCUGUGCCUAGCGAUGGGUGACAUAUGACACACCUGUUGAAUCUUUUGGGAACUGGAAGAAUGAAAAGUGGAUAACGUGAUGAUCAGGUGUUCAAGAGAGUGUUCAAGAGAGUUUCAGAUGUAAUCCAGGACACGCAUCAAUGCACUAGCUCCACAAAGAAUGAGCCCUGGGUGAAAAAGCACGUGUCGGAAAAACAAACGGAUGUGCAGAGGCGUUAGAGGACCUGCUGUAGACAGAAAGCUUUCCCGAAUUCAUUUAUUCGUUCUAACAGUUUUUUGGCGGAGUCUUUAUGGAGGAAGUUGGGGCUUGCCCCGUGGCCAAGUGGUUAAGUUCACACUCUCUGCUGCAGGCGGCCCAGUGUUUCGUUGGUUCGAAUCCUGGGCACGGACAUGGCACUGCUCAUCAAACCACGCUGAGGCGGCGUCCCACAUGCCACAACUAGAAGGACCCACAACGAAGAAUAUACAACUAUGUACUGGGGGGCUUUGGGGAGAAAAAGGAAAAACUAAAAUCUUUAAAAAAAAAAUUAGGAAGAAGUUAAAGUUAUUUACAUAAUUCAUGUCAAACAUAAAUGUUCCUGGCUACAGAAUAAGUAAUUUUUUGUUUUGAUAAUUUAUACCAGUAUUUUUGUUGUUUGGUUAUAUAGUACAGCUUUGGUUGAGACUGAGUUACCACACUUGUUUUCAGGAACUAAAUAUGGAACAAUCAAAUAAUUCGUAAUCUUUAAUGUAAUUUUAGUUGAAAAAAUCAUUAAUGGUUUUAUCCAUAGGAUUUAUCAGAUACAAGUAACUACCAAACUCUAUUUCCUAUAGUGAUAUAUAGACCCAAUACUAAAUUUUACAAUAUGGACCUUGGAGUCAAGUGUAAAUUUUGUACUAAGUGCAUAGCUGUACAGGAUUCUUUAUCAACAAACUUGCUAUUGGUUUUGUAAAGUCCAGAAAAGAGAAUAUGUUCUUCUCCUAUAUCAUCUAUUAUUAUAUAUGGCCAGCCAAUUUCAAAUAUGGGAAACUAACUAUUUUUUGUGGCUUUAGAAGUUGUAUUGGUUAUGUUUCAUUUUUCAUGUGAAUGCUGACAUCAUCGUGAUCCUGCUACACAAACUGCUACCCUAAUUUCAAGCUCCAUUAGAAACAUGGGAAAUAUUGUAUUGCUUACAUUUAUAGAAUUGAGGAAAUACAGGGUUUCAAAUAAUAUAUAACAAAAUAAAGGGUAAUACUGUUCAGCUCUUGAAAUAUACAGAUUAUAUAUGUAAUGUAAUUUGCCUUUUCAUUAUUAUAUUUACAGUCCUUAGAAUUAAGUAAAUGUUCUAAAUAAAAUUAUUUUUUGAAAAUUUUCAGUGAUCAUUAUAUUUAGAAUCCCAGUAUUUUUGGUAAUAAUCCUGCACUUUGGGACAUAAAAAUAAUUUAAAAUAAAAGUUCACUUUUGAGUUCAAUAAUGAAUUGUUCAUGCGGAUGUAUCUCAGAAUGCAUAAUACAUUCUAGAGUGGGAAGAAGCUUAGACCAAAACUGUAAAAAUUAUAAUUCCUUUUAAGAUAUUUUCUACAAAAGUAUGUUUAUUCUUGAGCUGAUAACUUCCAAAUUUGCAACCCUCCAACCCUUACAUCUCACCUAAAGAUCAGAUUUUAAUAGAAAACCAGCAGCUUGUUAUCACUACAUAUGUUUCUGAUAGGUAUAUCAGACUGUGUGUGUCUAAACGGAAUUCUUGAUGUCUCCAUUCCACUCAUUUCAAAUAAUGUCACAUUUUGCUCAAAUAAAAAAUCCAGGCUUCUUCAUUUUCUCUCAGGAGUUAACAGGGGCAUUUCUAAUCUUUCUUAUUUUAAUAAAU
ensembl:lncRNA